rnacentral:tRNA from 2 species
UGGGCCUGUAGCUUAGUUCGGCAGAGCGACGGACUCUUAAUCCGUAGGCCAAGGGUUCAAAUCCCUUCAGGCCCGUC